rnacentral:rRNA from 1 species
GAUGAACGCUGGCGGCGUGCCUAAUACAUGCAAGUCGAGCGAACGGACGAGAAGCUUGCUUCUCUGAUGUUAGCGGCGGACGGGUGAGUAACACGUGGAUAACCUACCUAUAAGACUGGGAUAACUUCGGGAAACCGGAGCUAAUACCGGAUAAUAUUUUGAACCGCAUGGUUCAAAAGUGAAAGACGGUCUUGCUGUCACUUAUAGAUGGAUCCGCGCUGCAUUAGCUAGUUGGUAAGGUAACGGCUUACCAAGGCAACGAUGCAUAGCCGACCUGAGAGGGGGAUCGGCCACACUGGAACUGAGACACGGUCCAGACUCCGAAGGGAGGCAGCAGUAGGGAAUCUUCCGCAAUGGGCGAAAGCCUGACGGAGCAACGCCGCGUGAGUGAUGAAGGGCUUCGGAUCGGAAAACUCUGUUAUUAGGGAAGAACAUAUGUGUAAGUAACUGUGCACAUCUUGACGGUACCUAAUCAGAAAGCCACGGCUAACUACGUG